AAGAAAGUUGGUUUCAUGGACUUAUGUUAUAGAACGCGAACUAUAAGAAUUAAAAUUAAGUUUAAACCAAUGUAUAAGUCAAGUAUAUGACUAAUUGGUAUAUGUUAUUCCUUAUGUGAUAUAUAGGAAUUUCAAAGAGCCGUACAUCAUAAAUUGUAAUUGUAUACAGCGCUUAAGGUAAGUUUACUAACUUCAUUCAUAUUUGAAAUGAAUGCUAGUUUCUUUAAGCUUGCUCGGAUGUUGUAAAUGAGUAAGUUUGAUCUAUGUGAAAAUGUAUUAUAUUUGUACAAGAUGUUUAUGAUGUAUGAGGCUAUGUACCUCUUCUAUGCACUUAUGUGCUUUCGGAAGAUGAACUGUUCUGUGUUAGAACUGCUCAAAUGUAAAAGAGUUCUAUUUAUUCAUGAAUUGUUAAUGUUAAGUCUAUGCUAAUGAUUUUAGCUAGAGAGAAUGUAAAAGAAUAGAGUAUAAGAAUUGAGGUUUUGUCAAAGCGAAUGCAUUGAUGUUUUAAAAUGAUAGAAAUCAAAAUUUAUUCCUAUUAUUCAAG
rnacentral:lncRNA from 1 species